AGAGUUUGAUCCUGGCUCAGAUUGAACGCUGGCGGCAUGCCUUACACAUGCAAGUCGGACGGCAGCGCGGGGGCAACCCUGGCGGCGAGUGGCGAACGGGUGAGUAAUACAUCGGAACGUGUCCUGGAGUGGGGGAUAGCCCGGCGAAAGCCGGAUUAAUACCGCAUACGCUCUAUGGAGGAAAGCGGGGGAUCUUCGGACCUCGCGCUCAAGGGGCGGCCGAUGGCAGAUUAGCUAGUUGGUGGGGUAAAGGCCUACCAAGGCGACGAUCUGUAGCUGGUCUGAGAGGACGACCAGCCACACUGGGACUGAGACACGGCCCAGACUCCUACGGGAGGCAGCAGUGGGGAAUUUUGGACAAUGGGGGCAACCCUGAUCCAGCAAUGCCGCGUGUGUGAAGAAGGCCUUCGGGUUGUAAAGCACUUUUGUCCGGAAAGAAAACCUCCGUCCUAAUACGGUGGGGGGAUGACGGUACCGGAAGAAUAAGCACCGGCUAACUACGUGCCAGCCGCCGCGGUAAUAC
rnacentral:rRNA from 1 species